rnacentral:ncRNA from 18 species
ACCUUUGCACAAUCAAUCGGUUCAUCAUACGAUGAUUAAAAGGGAACAAGGUGAAAAUCCCUGACAGUCCCGCUGCUGUAAUUUGUCGUUUAUGAAGCAAACAAAAUAGCCACUGUGUAUUAUAGGGAAGGCGUUUGCUUUUAUGACAAUAAGUCAGAAGACCUGCCAUUGAAACAGUUUAUCCC